AUUGAACGCUGGCGGCAUGCCUUACACAUGCAAGUCGAACGGUAACAGGUCUUCGGAUGCUGACGAGUGGCGAACGGGUGAGUAAUACAUCGGAACGUGCCUAGUAGUGGGGGAUAACUACUCGAAAGAGUGACUAAUACCGCAUGAGAUCUACGGAUGAAAGCAGGGGAUCGAAAGGCCUUGUGCUACUAGAGCGGCCGAUGGCAGAUUAGGUAGUUGGUGGGAUAAAAGCUUACCAAGCCGACGAUCUGUAGCUGGUCUGAGAGGACGAUCAGCCACACUGGGACUGAGACACGGCCCAGACUCCUACGGGAGGCAGCAGUGGGGAAUUUUGGACAAUGGGCGAAAGCCUGAUCCAGCAAUGCCGCGUGCAGGAUGAAGGCCUUCGGGUUGUAAAUUGCUUUUGUACGGAACGAAAAGCCCCGGGUUAAUACCCUGGGGUCAUGACGGUACCGUAAGAAUAAGCACCGGCUAACUACGUGCCAGCCGCCGCGGUAA
rnacentral:rRNA from 1 species